rnacentral:lncRNA from 1 species
GAAAAUGCAAAGAAAGAUUAAAGCUAUCUACCAAAAUAUUGGCAGAGAAUGUUUUCUCUUUCCUGUUAAGAUCUCUUCACCUAAUUCUGUGUUGGAUUUGACUUGCUAGUUGGUGGCAGCCUCCUCAAGCUUGCGCCGACCUCUGUCUCAGUUUGCUUGUCUGCUGCUGCACGGAAGCCUUUCAGAUUUCCAGAGUUGGUAGCCACAGGCUCCAACAGCCUUCUUAUUUGGACAUUCUCUUCUAGAGAUUUUCUCUCCAAGGAGGGGGGUGAUGGAAAGCUUGCUUAAAAAUGCAGUAGAAUCAAAACAGAGAGGAAAGAAAGAGCUCUGAAGAUGGCUUUCAUGGUUGGUUGGGACUUGGGAUGGUUAAGCGAUGUCCAUUUAUAUAUGAUCUCUGACCCCAUUAUUACACCUUAAGAAGACAAAUUUGCAGUAAAGGCAAUAGAUAAAGGGAAAAAAAUGACACUUCAGCUGACUGAAUAAAGAAACAAGAAGUAUUCUACCAAAAAUAAAGUAAAAUAAAAUAAAGAAACA